AUUGAACGCUGGCGGAAUGCUUUACACAUGCAAGUCGAACGGCAGCACGGGGCAACCUGGUGGCGAGUGGCGAACGGGUGAGUAAUACAUCGGAACGUGCCCAAUCGUGGGGGAUAACGUAGCGAAAGUUACGCUAAUACCGCAUACGAUCUACGGAUGAAAGCGGGGGAUCGCAAGACCUCGCGCGAUUGGAGCGGCCGAUGUCAGAUUAGGUAGUUGGUGGGGUAAAGGCUCACCAAGCCGACGAUCUGUAGCUGGUCUGAGAGGACGACCAGCCACACUGGGACUGAGACACGGCCCAGACUCCUACGGGAGGCAGCAGUGGGGAAUUUUGGACAAUGGGCGCAAGCCUGAUCCAGCCAUUCCGCGUGCAGGAUGAAGGCCUUCGGGUUGUAACUGCUUUGUUACGGAACGAACGGUACUCUCUAAUACAGGGGCUAAUGACGGUACCGUAAGAAUAAGACACCGGCUAACUACGUAGCCAGCAGCCGCGGUAACUAGUCUACG
rnacentral:rRNA from 1 species